CCCCAGGCGUGGGGGCUCGGGCCCGUCAAUUCAGCUACAGAUGUCACACCGGUAACGCUGACGGAUCCGGUCCCAAACCCUCCGGCUCCGUGACCCGUGUGCGGAACUGGGGCUGCAGCCUCGAGACUGUCCGGUUUGGCCAAUGUACCUGGCAGAGAGGCAUUGCUGUCACAUGAUGGAAUAUAUCGCAUUAGUAGAUGUGCAGGGAACUGGAGCCCACAUCACCCCAUCCACCAUCACAAUCGGCACUGAUGCAGAUGCUGUUUGGCAUCUCAGCACAGAGGUGAAACAUCCACUGGACACAGAGUGACUGAUUCAGAUCUCUAGAGGGGCCCCUGCCCUUGGGGUCUCAGUCUGUGCAUGAAGUGAACGUGGCCACAGACUCUGCUAAGUUGUUUUAUUUUACUUGUACCAGGAAACUUAUGAAGGAAACUGACACUGUGAAGAGGGUUUUCUCUGCUGAUCUUGGGCUGCUGCUGAGCUUCUGCCAGCUGCCUGCCCUUGUCACACUCCUCACAACCAAAACUUUGUAG